rnacentral:rRNA from 1 species
UACAGAGGUCCCAAGCGUUGUUCGGAUUCAUUGGGCGUAAAGGGUGCGUAGGCGGCGCGGUAAGUCGGGUGUGAAAUCUCGGGGCUUAACUCCGAAACUGCAUUCGAUACUGCCGUGCUUGAGGACUGGAGAGGAGACUGGAAUUUACGGUGUAGCGGUGAAAUGCGUAGAUAUCGUAAGGAAGACCAGUGGCGAAGGCGGGUCUCUGGGC